rnacentral:rRNA from 1 species
AUACGUAGGGUGCAAGCGUUAAUCGGAAUUACUGGGCGUAAAGCGUGCGCCGGCGGUUUUGUAAGACAGGGGUGAACUCCCCGGGCUCAACCUGGGAAAUGCCAUUUUGACUGCCAGGCUGGAGUGCGGCAGAGGGGGAUGGAAUUCCGCGUGUAGCAGUGAAAUGCGUAGAUAUGCGGAGGAACACAGAUGGCGAAGGCCAUCCCCUGGGCCUGCACUGACGCUCAUGCACGAAAGCGUGGGGAGCAAACAGGAUUAGAUGCCCUGGUAGUCCACGCCCUAAACGAUGUCAACUGGUUGUUGGGGAUUUAUUUUCUCAGUAACGAAGCUAACGCGUGAAGUUGACCGCCUGGGGAGUACGGCCGCAAGGUUAAAACUCAAAUGAAUUGGCGGGG